UUCGUUGUUUAUGAAGCCUGG
rnacentral:miRNA from 1 species